CCUUAUCCCUCCCUUGGCUUCCACUCUUCCGUUCUGCUGGCUUACUUUCCGCGUCCACUGUCUCACCCCUGAUAUUUUUUAACCUUGAAGAGAGCGAGGUAGUGAACAGCUGGCUUAAGUCUUGUUACUUUCUUAAAAAUAUUAAGAUGUAAAGGUUAGAAGAUAUAAAGUCCUGUCUGAUUGCCUUUUGCCGCUCUGCUUGUUUUAUUACUGCUCAGCGAGAUGUGCUCUUUCCGUGGAAACUAUGUUCAAAGCUUACAGGAGCAACGGAAGUAUUUUUACUCUGAGGAGUGAUCUAUAUGCUUCCAAUAAAUAUCCCCUUUUAAAGUUUACUCUCAAAAAGCUUGUAAGGAUACUCGUUACCAGGCACUAUCAAUACUUUUUUUUUAAAACCUGAUUUUAAGAAUAAAU